UACUGAGGGUUGGAGGGUAUGUGACAUGCAUCUUCCUCAGGAUUGGAGGAUUCAAAGAUAUGAGAGAAAUACAUGGAAGAAGCCAUGAUGAUAGGCAGAAAAGAGAACAAUUAUGCCAAGAGAAGGAAAUGUCCAAGUUUGCAUAAAUGGCAGAUGCACAUAGACAACGCCAACAAUAGCAACAACAACAACAACAUGAAGGUUUUGGGACCUCCUGCGAUGUUAGUGCACCCAAGGUUUCUUCAACAGUACUACAACAGGAUCAGUGA